rnacentral:rRNA from 1 species
GAUGAACGCUAGCGGCAGGCUUAACACAUGCAAGUCGAGGGGUAUUGGUUUUCGGACCAAGAGACCGGCGCACGGGUGCGUAACGCGUAUGCAAUCUACCUUUUGCAGAGGGAUAGCCCCAGAGAAAUUUGGAUUAAUACCUCAUAGUAUAGUACUUUGGCAUCAAGGAACUAUUAAAGUCACAACGGCAAAGAUGAGCAUGCGUCCCAUUAGCUAGUUGGUAAGGUAACGGCUUACCAAGGCUACGAUGGGUAGGGGUCCUGAGAGGGAGAUCCCCCACACUGGUACUGAGACACGGACCAGACUCCUACGGGAGGCAGCAGUGAGGAAUAUUGGACAAUGGGCGCAAGCCUGAUCCAGCCAUGCCGCGUGCAGGAUGACGGUCCUAUGGAUUGUAAACUGCUUUUACACAGGAAGAAACAACGCUACGUGUAGCGUCUUGACGAUACUGUGAGAAUAAGGAAUCGGCUAACUCCGUGCCAGCA